UCGGUGCCCACAAGCUGUUCUAGCAAGGGUUAAACGGGAAACAGGUGCGCUACACCCACUGGUGCCAGCCAUGCCUGUGCUGCCCCCGCAACGGUAAAUGCGAUUAACUGCGUCAUCAAACCACUGGAGCCCUGGCUCUGGGAAGGGGACGCAGCUGCCUGACCAGACAACGCAUGAGCCCGGAGACCGGCCGAAACG
rnacentral:ncRNA from 1 species